rnacentral:lncRNA from 10 species
UGCAUAUGUUGAAAUAUCUUUGCAUCCCUGGUAUAAAUCCAACUUGAUCACAAUGAAGGAUCUUUUUAACACAAUGUCAAAUUUGGUUUUCUAGCAUUUUGUUAAAUGUUCUUGCAUCAUGUUCAUCAGGAAUAUUGGCCUUUAGUUUUCUUAUCUUUUUUUAGAUAUGUCUUUUUCUGUUUUGCAUAUCAGGGUAAUAAUGGCCUUGUAGAGCGAGUUUGGAAGUAUUCUCUCCUCCUCUAUUUUUCCAAAUAGUUUGAAUAAAAUUGUAUUUUUUUCUUUAAAUAUCUGGUAAAAUUAAACAGUGAAGCCGCUGGAUGCAACGGAUCCAAGCUUUUUUUUUUUCCCAACCUGGAGACUUUUCAUUACAACUUUAUUCUCAUUAUUUGUUAUUAAUAUUUUCAAGUUUUGAUUUUCUUCGUAGUUUAAUCUUGUUAGGUUUUAUGUGUUUAGGAAUUUACCGAUUUCUUCUAGGUUUUUAAAUUUAUUGACUUAUAAUUGCUCCCAGUAACCUCUAAUGAUUUUUUGAAUUUUUCAAGUAUCAGUUGCAGUGUCUCCUUUUCAUUUCUGAUUUUAUUUAUUUGUGUGUUCAUUUUUUCUUAGUUAGAUGGACUAAAUGUUGAUUUGGCUUAUAUUUUCAAAAACACAAAUUUUUGUUCCAUUUAUUUGCUCUUAUAUUUGUUAUUUCUUUUUUCUAGUAAUUUUGGGUUUUAUUUGUUCUUGCUUUUCUAGUUGAGAUGCAUAUUUAGGUUGUUUAUUUGAAGUUUUUCUUUUUUU